CGCGGGAUGGAGCAGUUGGUAGCUCGUCGGGCUCAUAACCCGAAGGUCAUAGGUUCAAGUCCUAUUCCCGCAACCA
rnacentral:tRNA from 2 species